rnacentral:rRNA from 1 species
ACACAUGCAAGUCGAGGGGAAACGACAUCGAAAGCUUGCUUUUGAUGGGCGUCGACCGGCGCACGGGUGAGUAACGCGUAUCCAACCUGCCCACCACUUGGGGAUAACCUUGCGAAAGUAAGACUAACACCCAAUGAUAUCUCUAGAAGACAUCUGAAAGAGAUUAAAGAUUUAUCGGUGAUGGAUGGGGAUGCGUCUGAUUAGCUUGUUGGCGGGGUAACGGCCCACCAAGGCGACGAUCAGUAGGGGUUCUGAGAGGAAGGUCCCCCACAUUGGAACUGAGACACGGUCCAAACUCCUACGGGAGGCAGCAGUGAGGAAUAUUGGUCAAUGGACGAGAGUCUGAACCAGCCAAGUAGCGUGCAGGAAGACGACCCUAUGGGUUGUAAACUGCUUUUAUAAGGGAAUAAAGUGAGUCUCGUGAGACUUUUUGCAUGUACCUUAUGAAUAAGGACCGGCUAAUUCCGUGCCAGCAGCCGCGGUAAUACGGAAGGUCCGGGCGUUAUCCGGAUUUAUUGGGUUUAAAGGGAGCGUAGGCCGGAGAUUAAGCGUGUUGUGAAAUGUAGACGCUCAACGUCUGCACUGCAGCGCGAACUGGUCUUCUUGAGUACGCACAACGUGGGCGGAAUUCGUGGUGUAGCGGUGAAAUGCUUAGAUAUCACGAAGAACUCCGAUUGCGAAGGCAGCUCACGGGAGCGCAACUGACGCUGAAGCUCGAAAGUGCGGGUAUCGAACAGGAUUAGAUACCCUGGUAGUCCGCACGGUAAACGAUGGAUGCCCGCUGUUGGCCUGAAUAGGUCAGCGGCCAAGCGAAAGCAUUAAGCAUCCCACCUGGGGAGUACGCCGGCAACGGUGAAACUCAAAGGAAUUGACGGGGG